rnacentral:rRNA from 1 species
UACGUAGGGCGCAAGCGUUGUCCGGAAUUAUUGGGCGUAAAGAGCUCGUAGGCGGCCUGUUACGUCUGCUGUGAAAUCCCGGGGCUUAACCCCGGGCGUGCAGUGGAUACGGGCAGGCUGGAGGCAGGCAGGGGAGAACGGAAUUCCCGGUGUAGCGGUGAAAUGCGCAGAUAUCAGGAGGAACACCAGUGGCGAAGGCGGCUUCCUGGCACAUAACUGACGCUGAUACGCGAAAGCGUGGGGAGCGAACCGG